rnacentral:rRNA from 1 species
UACAGAGGUCUCAAGCGUUUGUUCGGAUUCAUUGGGCGUAAAGGGUGCGUAGGCGAUUUGAAAAGUCUUGUGUGAAAGCCCCGAGCUUAACUCGGGAAGUGCACAAGAAACUGUUGAAUUUGAGUUCCGGAGAGGAAGGCAGAAUUCCCGGUGUAGCGGUGAAAUGCGUAGAGAUCUGGAAGAACACCAAUGGCGAAGGCAGCGUCCUGGGAAGUGACUGACGCUCAUGUGCGAAAGCUAGGGGAGCGAACGGG